GACGAACGCUGGCGGCGUGCCUAAUACAUGCAAGUUGAGCGCUGAAGGUUGGUACUUGUACCGACUGGAUGAGCAGCGAACGGGUGAGUAACGCGUGGGGAAUCUGCCUUUGAGCGGGGGACAACAUUUGGAAACGAAUGCUAAUACCGCAUAAAAACUUUAAACACAAGUUUUAAGUUUGAAAGAUGCAAUUGCAUCACUCAAAGAUGAUCCCGCGUUGUAUUAGCUAGUUGGUGAGGUAAAGGCUCACCAAGGCGAUGAUACAUAGCCGACCUGCGAGGGUGAUCGGCCACAUUGGGACUGAGACACGGCCCAAACGCCUACGGGAGGCAGCAGUAGGGAAUCUUCGGCAAUGGACGAAAGUCUGACCGAGCAACGCCGCGUGAGUGAAGAAGGUUUUCGGAUCGUAAAACUCUGUUGGUAGAGAAGAACGUUGGUGAGAGUGGAAAGCUCAUCAAGUGACGGUAACUACCCAGAAAGGAACGGCUAACUACGUG
rnacentral:rRNA from 1 species